CCUCUGGACACAACCUCCCUCUGCUUUCCUGAGGGCCCAGACCAGGCCUUUUUCAGACUCCAUUUCCAGACUGUGGCUCAACCUUUCAGGCUUCCCUUCACGUGACUUCCAAGGAGGAUCUCGGGGGGCUUCGGGGCCCUGUAAGCAGGCUUUCGGAUUUCCUGGGACUGCAGGCUCCGUGGGGCUCUCUCAGCUCCCCCUCCCUGAGUAGAAGGUGAUUUGUUCCCAGAUGCCUUUCACUAAUUAGAAACCCCCUUCAGUUCUCCUGUUAUGUAAGAAUCCAAGGCACCACGUGACCCUCUGAAAAGCUGGGCUCUGUUUUAAACACGGAUUUUUAGCCGGGAUCAAAUGGUGAGAUUUUGGCGCCGCUUUGCAGCGGUGAAGCUGCGAUCCCCUUCGCCCUUCCUCCUCACCCUCUCCUGCCUUCUCCCCGGGCCUCACCCUGCGGUCAGUCACUGGUGCCCGGGCCUCCGCUUCUCCGGCUUCUCCGGCAGGGAGGCCCGGGCGGUGUGCGCGUGCAAGGGCGCGUGCAUGUGCGCGCGCGCGCAUGCGCGCGUGGAGGUGUAAGGGCCGGCCGGAGGGUGGGGGCCCGCGGUGCGAGGCGGCCAGGCCGCAUUUCUGGCUGCUCAUUGUUCAGUCCCCGUCGCCAUGGCGACGGGAGCAGCUGCUCCAUUCUGGGCCUUGGCUUGGCUGUGCGGGGCGGCCCGCCCGCCUGUCUGCCCGCCCGUCCGCCUGCCCGGCCGUGGGAGCUGCCAGCAACUCGCCCUCCCGCUGCCCACAGGCCCUGCCAGGCUGGGCGCAAGAAAGCGUGUUUACUAACACCAUCCACACGGCUCCCUGGGCACCGCGGCUCUGCCCAGAAGAUGUCAGGCCGAGGGCACCGGGAGGCUUCUCUACCCAGCUAGGAAUCUUCUCUGUGUUCUUCUGAUGGUCCACUGCCCUCCAGCUAAACCCAUUUCCCCCAGUGGGUGUCACACUGCCUGAUCUCUCGCCAUUAUUUCCUUAGAUUCCUGGUGAAUCAACUCUACAGGGUUUGGUCAACUCUCUUCUGUUGCUGCCUUCUGUUAAGUACCUCUGUUAAGUACCUGUCCUGGGGCAGGGACUAGGAAUAGGAUGUCAGCCAAAGAGGACCCAGACUUCCCAAGGCCACGUUGUCUACCCCCGGCUCAGCUUGCUUCCUGGCCCCAUUCUGUCCCUUGCCUGUGCUGAACUCGGGUCUGCCCCUUCGGGCUUUUAAGGCACCCGUGCCACCACCCCACCCCCCGUGAGGGGCCGGCGCAGGCUCUCGCAUUUGCACGCAGGCCAAGGAACGGCGGGGAGGGCGCCUUCUCUUUCAGGGUUUCGUGCCUCAAAUCUGAUCUGGGCUGUGGACCGCGAGGUUGCCUGUGUCCCGAGGAAAGGGAAUCUCCGGCCUCAGCAACCGGAUGGGGAGAAUAACUUUGGGAGAUUUCCAGGUUCCUGCGUGGUCACCUGCGGUCCCCUUGAGGCCAGCCCUGCCGUGCAUGGACCUAUAGAGCAUAAGUCUCUAGGGUGAUGCAGAGGGCACCCCUAUGGGCAGACCUGAUAAGAGUGUAGGAGAUAGGAAAGGGGUCCAGUCCGUGAGGAACCAGCUACGUUGGCCUGGGAAGUAGUGCUUGUGUGUUAACCAUCGGCCCCGUGUCCACUGUCCUCUCUACGCUGGGCGGUACGUCGUCCCCUCCAAGCCUUUCAUUCACUCCUCACAGAGACUCUCUGCAGCAGAAGUGACCGACCUGGGUUUGGAGACAGGAAGAUUUCGGGGUGUCUCUUCUAAACUGUGACCUUCAGAACCAGUUGCCAGUGGCGAAGUCAACAAAGGUGUCCUUAAUGACUCCACUCCACGACCACCGCAGGCUGCCCCAUCCCUUUCUGGCAACCAAGAGCAGCCUCCUGCCUCUAAGCCUCCACGUCGGCCUGUCCCUAG